rnacentral:misc_RNA from 1 species
AUCCCUGGCACUGGGAAAGAUAUGAACAGAAAUGUAUUAAUAAACACCCGAGUAAUAAACACCUUGCCCCUGGCAUACAAAUGUAUUAAUAAACGCCGGAGGAACAUGAUGCCACAAGCUGUCCAUGAUCCUUGCCAAAUGCCCCUUCUAUUUUGAGUUCCUUUUGGGUUUGUUGAAUAGUUUUAGUUGGUGAAACAGUGAUUCCUAUGGAGUGGGUAGAACAUGUAUUCAGAAAAUGGCCUUGUAGGUGCCAAUAUCCUUGAGCUAAUUCAUUUAUAUCCUGUCCACAUUUGACAUGGUGUCUGCCCCUGGCACUGCGAAAUGUAUGAACAAAAAAUGAAAUUUGAAACUGAAAUGAGCUCUCCUAAGCCGUUUAUUGUAUCAAUUGUAUUUCUUGCAUUAACCUCAGUAACAUUGGGACUUCUUGAAUGUCCCAUUUUAUUAUUGGAACCGACUGUUGAACCUUGAACAACUUGUGACAGAAUCAACUAUUUGCAGGCACCCCUAUCAGUGACAAAGCCUGCAGUGCCUG